rnacentral:rRNA from 1 species
UACGUAGGGGGCAAGCGUUGUCCGGAAUCAUUGGGCGUAAAGCGCGUGUAGGCGGCCCGGUAAGUCCGCUGUGAAAGUCGGGGGCUCAACCCUCGAAUGCCGGUGGAUACUGUCGGGCUAGAGUGCGGGAGAGGCGAGUGGAAUUCCUGGUGUAGCGGUGAAAUGCGCAGAUAUCAGGAGGAACACCGGUGGCGAAGGCGGGUCUCUGGGCCGAUACUGACGCUGAGGAGCGAAAGCAUGGGUAGCGAACAGG